GGGCGAUUAGCUCAGCGGUAGAGCGCCUGCCUUACAAGCAGGAUGUCGCUGGUUCGAACCCAGCAUCGCCCA
rnacentral:tRNA from 6 species